UCACCUCAACCUUCUCCAACUAUGUCCGGAGCGGGAGGCAAGUGGAUGGCCUCCUCCGUCACGAAGGGGCAGAUCCAGAAGCUGCGCGACGCUGGAUACUUGUCCAGUGACAUCGCGCACCAGCUCCCCGACGAGGGAGAGCUCAUCCCCACCCCUAGGCCCCAUGAGAGGGUAGUGUUUCUUCCCCAUUUCCUCCGCGGACUGGGCUUCCCACUUCAUCCCUUCGUCCGGGGGCUCAUGUUCUACUAUGGCCUGGAUUUCCAUGAUCUGGCCCCGAAUUUCAUCCUCAACAUCUCGGCGUUUAUCGUCGUGUGCGAGGCCUUCCUCUGCAUCCAGCCCCACUUCGGCUUGUGGCUCAAGACCUUCAGUGUCAAGCCGAAGGUUGUGAAGGGCAGCCAAGCGGAGUGCGGAGGCGCCAUGGUGGGCAGGAUGUCCCACGUUACGUGGCUGGAAGGCACUUUCGUGGAAACCAUCAAGGGGUGGCAAUCGGGGUGGUUCUACAUCACCGAGCCGCGUGACGCCGAUUGGGCAGCGGCCCCCGAAUUCAGAUUCGGCAUCCCUACACGGCUCACCUCCUGGAAAGAGAGUGGCCUGCUGGGGGAAUUCAGAGGAGCUGACCGGACUCCAAGCCUGUAUCCAGAAGCUGGUGGACAAGAAUCUCAAGCUUGUCAACGUAGUCCAGGUCAUGCUCAUCCGCCGGAUUCUCCCAUGCCAACGAUGGGGCUUCAACAU
rnacentral:rRNA from 1 species